rnacentral:rRNA from 1 species
GAUGAACGCUGGCGGCGUGCCUAAUACAUGCAAGUCGAGCGAACAGAUGAGGAGCUUGCUCCUCUGACGUUAGCGGCGGACGGGUGAGUAACACGUGGAUAACCUACCUAUAAGACUGGGAUAACUACGGGAAACCGGAGCUAAUACCGGAUAAUAUAUUGAACCGCAUGGUUCAAUAGUGAAAGACGGUUUUGCUGUCACUUAUAGAUGGAUCCGCGCCGCAUUAGCUGGUUGGUAAGGUAACGGCUUACCAAGGCAACGAUGCGUAGCCGACCUGAGAGGGUGAUCGGCCACACUGGAACUGAGACACGGUCCAGACUCCUACGGGAGGCAGCAGUAGGGAAUCUUCCGCAAUGGGCGAAAGCCUGACGGAGCAACGCCGCGUGAGUGAUGAAGGUCUUCGGAUCGUAAAACUCUGUUAUUAGGGAAGAACAAAUGUGUAAGUAACUAUGCACGUCUUGACGGUACCUAAUCAGAAAGCCACGGCUAACUACGUG